UCAGUGCAUACCUGAAGAGACCAUGAGUGUGCCAUUUAGUAGACACCAUGUUACAGGAAGAGGAAUGAUCAGAGGAACACCAGCAGGAAAGACCUUGGUAUCGAGGCUGUAAUCUCCUAUUGGGGUGCCCCAUAGCUCUUUAUGAUCCUGCUAUGGGGGGGUGAAGCCUUGAAAAUUGAGCUGGGGAUAUACUUUCUUGACAGAAGCCCUGAGAGGGCCUAAUUCCUCCCAAGAGUAAUGGUUUUUGCACAUUCGUGGAGAGAGAGAGAGAUUGAGAGGCAGAGACACAGGCAGAGGGAGAAGCGGGCUCCAUGCGGGGAGCCCGAUGUGGGACUCCAGGACCACACCCUGGGCUGAAGGCGACGCUAAACCACUGGGCCACCGGGGGCUCCCCAGCUACUAACCUUUAUACAAAGAAGUGUGGUCUCCUAUCAACACCCCAAGAUGCUUAUCAAAAUAUACCUGCAACAUCACAGAACUGUCCCUGUGAAGAACUCUGACAAGGUUUUAAGACAGAUACGCAAGAAAAACUACCAGAGGUCCAAGUGUAUCACCAAGCUCAUCAAGUAGGGGACCUCAGGCAGCUACGCACAACCUGUGUUUUCCCCUGUUUGAAGCGCAGAGCCAGGAUCCUUGAUGGAAUAUUGAAUUGGAAAAGCAGAAGCCUCCACUUUGUAAGGGAUCAAAUGAAGGACACUAAGAAGAGCUAGCUGCCCCUCCUCCGCUCCGGGCUUCCUCAUACGGUUUGCUCAGCCUAUACCAAGAGGAAUCUUUCCAUGGCUACAAGUCGUUGCCCUUUGAAAACUAAGCAAGGCAACAGAAACAUAUCCACCAGCCUCUGUAUCAAGUCACUAAGAAGAGUCCAACUCUUUCACAAUGACUCAGCCCCCUAAAGACAAUGGAAUAAUAAAUUCAUGUUGAUGAAGAACAAUAAAGUCAAGUUGAGGAAGACGGGCAAAGUCAUGUAUAUGUAGAUUAUAUUUAAUAUGCAUAUACAUGGUUUCAGUUCUCACCGUCCCACUGUGAUCGUUCUUCAGCCUGGACUAUGAGAGGGUUCAAUAACAUCUCGGGAUAUGUUCAGUCCAAAUUCUCAUCAAUAUUUGAGUUACCAUGAUACUCCAAGGUAUCCAGUAUCAUGUUUCCAAGGAUGGUUGUUUCAACCUGCACAGGUAGAAAAUGCUUCAAAAGUCCUGAGAAUAAGCAAUGACCAGAACAUAUUAAAAAUCUACUGGGCCAUGUGGUAAAAGAGAGAGCAGAAAUAAACUCAUGCAUAUACAAUCAACCGAUCUCCAAUAAGAGUGUCAAGAAUACACAAUAGGGAAAGAAUAGAGUCUUCAAUGAACAGUGUUAGGAAAGGCUCUCUGCUUUCCACUAUGUGAGGAUAAGAAUAGAAGCAGCGGUAUGCGACCAUGAGGAGAACCCUCCCUGGAACGGGCGAUGCUUGCACUCCAGUCUCAGACUUUCUAGCUCCCCAAAAUGUGAGAAAUAAACUUCUGUUGUU